UUCGGCGAUCGCUUCGAAGCCGCUUAAACCCGAGUCGAGAGAACCAAGCAAAUCGCGCCAGAAUACCUUGGCAGCCAUGAGGCCGCUAUUGCUAGUUGCGCUGCUGGCCGUCGUGACCGUCGCUGUGGUUGAUGCCUCUCGCCCCUGUGGUGACGUCAGUGGCAUUUGCAAGAAAAAGGACAGUCCAAGAGGGAAGAAGUGCAAGCAAAUUGAGGAAGGACUAUGCGAGAAGGGCAUGGUCUGCUGUCCUG